rnacentral:rRNA from 1 species
UACGGAGAGUGCAAACGUUGUUCGGAUUCACUGGGCGUAAAGGGCACGUAGGCGGCUCGGCAAAUCGGUCGUGGAAUCCCGACGCUUACCGUCGGAACGGCGGCCGAAAAUACCGGGCUAGAGGGCGUGAGGGGUCACUGGAACUCCCGGUGAAGCGGUGAAAUGCGUAGAUAUCAGGAGGAACGCCGGAGGCGAAAGCGAGUGACUGGCGCGUUCCUGACGCUGAGGUGCGAAAGCUAGGGGAGCAAACAGG